rnacentral:lncRNA from 10 species
CUUCAUAAUGCAUUUUAUUAUGUCACACCCACCUGCUCUGCUAGGCCAGCCGAGGUCAUGUGAUAAGGCUGCUGCAUCCCAAGGAAAGGGUUUCGGCUUUUACAAGGACAAGUGCUGGAUCAGCCUGAUCUCCUGGGAGUUAUGAAUCAGAUGGUCUGAAUGUCCUUGCGAGACUUGUGGAAAGAGAAAUGUUAUCCAGGUUUUUCCUUCAGAACUUUUCAUAGGCGAUCCUGGGAGCUCUGACCUAGAACUGAAAUGACUUUUGAUUUUGAAAAUAAUUAGAAUUAAUUUUGACUGCAUCCUGUGUUACCUCUUUCAAAGGGCUUAACUAUCCCAAGCAUCUUGACAUGUCUAGCUAAUCCAUUCCCAACUUAUUUAUCAUGGA